rnacentral:lncRNA from 1 species
GCUGAGUUAGGUGUCUUUAUUUACGUAUUAGAAUAAAUAGGAAAAUAAGCUGUUAAAUAAACACAACAUUAAAAAUAAACAGUUUUUACUCUGUAUGCCCUAUGACAAAUAUUAGGCUGCAGCAAGGCAGGUACUCUUAACAGACAUUCGUCAACCAAUAUAAUGAUAACCCAUGUUGUAUAUUACAUAUUCAUAAAUGUUUGGCGCUUGAUUUACACAUUGUUACAGAAGCAACAUGAAAUUACCCACCACGGACACUGUGAGCCUAGAUAUUUUAGCAACAGUAGAAAUGACAUACAUCAAAUCAGCUUGUGCACCCACCGUAUGUGCUAAACUGAUGAAUAUACUGGUAUUCUCAUACUUGCUUUUUUUUAUUUUGUCAGCUUAAACGACUCACCUUCAAGUAUUAAAAUAUGCUUCUACUUGUAUUUAAAUCUGUAGUACACAGCAGUCCCAAUUUUAGUUAUUUUUAGCCACUAUUAUAGUAAAAUGAUAGACUUAAUGAAGAUUCAUACAUUGCUUUACAAAACGUUUUUCUUUCUUUUUCUGAUGAAGAAUAGUUCAUGACUGUACAGUGUAAAAUGAAAAAUUAAACUCAAUCGUUUAAUGUCCUUUGCAUUGCUUUAACAACACAUGAAUGUGAAGUACUUUGUGAAAGCAUAAAUAUGUGAGACUUGACACUAAUUCAUACCAUAAAUUACUGACAAACACAAACUGAAUCAUCUAUUAACAUGAAGUACUGUGAGAUGUUGUGGUCUUAUUUGGCAUUAUCUAGCAAGAACAGUCAUAGGCAUAUUGUAUAAACUGAUUCACUCAAAGUAAAAGUAGAAGUAACACUUUAAGUAGAAAACUGACACAAGAUAAUUAAGCAUUUUUUACUAUUUGCCCUGAAGAAAUUUACAUUGAUUAUUAACGUUCAAAGCAGAGCCAAUAUAUCAGAAUACUUACAUGCCAGAAUGUGCCUUAGUGGUUGGUGGUUUGUUGGGGGUUUUUUUGUAACCAUUUAAAUUUUGUAAUAGGUCAUAUACUUUUUAAGAUUGUGUAACUUUUAAAGGAUAAUAAUAGAUUCUUAAAGUGAUACAACUAUGAUAACAGGGACAAAGCCUUAUUUCUUUCUGCUCUCUCCUUUACACGCUAAUCAUAGAACGGCUGAGAUUGGAAAGGACCUCUGGAAAUCGCCUAGUCCAGCUCGCUUGUUUAAAACUGGGCCAUCUAUAGCCGGUUACACUAGAGUGUCUCCAAAGAUGGGAACUCUGGGCGACCUGGUCCAGGGUUUGAUCACUCUCACUUUAAAAAAUUCUGUCUCAUGUUUAAAUGGAAUUUCCUGUAUUUUAAUUUGUGCCCAUUACCUCUUCUCCUGUCACUGGGCCCUACAGAGAAUGGUCUGCUCUCUCUCUCCACCCAUCAGGUAUUUACAGAUAUUGGUAAGAUCUCUUCUGAGCUUUCUCUCCAUGCUGAACAUUCCCAACUCUCUCAACUUCUUUUUUUCUGUCAAAUGCUGCAAUCCCUUAGUCAUCUUUGUGGCCCUUCACUGAGCUUGCUU